rnacentral:misc_RNA from 1 species
UGGCUCUCGCAUCGAUGAAGAACGCAGCGAAAUGCGAUAAGUAAUGUGAAUUGCAGAAUUCAGUGAAUCAUCGAAUCUUUGAACGCACCUUGCGCUCCUUGGCAUUCCGAGGAGCAUGCCUGUUUGAGUGUCGUGUAAUUCUCAAUCUCGACUUGUUUGUUGUAGAUUGGAUUUGGGAGCUUGUCGUGUCUCUUCUCUUUGAGAAAAGAAAAGAGGUUGGACUCUCCUUGAAUGCAUUAGCUCGGUCACGUAGUUUGCCCGACGGUUCACGGUGUGAUAGUCUCACUUCAUCGCCGUUCCAACCGUUGGUGCCUGUGUCAUUGCCGGCUUCAAAUCUCUGGCUCUUGUAAAAAAGUGCCUUUACACUUUUGACGCUUGACCUCAAAUCAGGUAGGAUUACCCGCUGA